UUGACCUCAAAUCAAGCAAGACUACCCGCUGAACUUAAGCAUAUCAAUAGGCCGGAAGGAAA
rnacentral:rRNA from 1 species